GCCAGAUAUACACACAUACAGCCAGAUACACACACAGUCAGAUACACACACACACACACAUACAGCCAGAUACACAUACACACAUACAGCCAGAUACACACACAUACAGCCAGAUACACACAGAGUCAGAUACACACACACACACACAUACAGCCAGAUACACAUACACACAUACAGCCAGAUACACACACAUACAGCCAGAUACACACACAUACAGCCAGAUACACACAC